AAAGACUUUAUUUUUAGAUUUCUGUAUGUAAAUUUAACUGUUCGUCUUAUUUUUUUAUAAUCAAUAUUUUUAUUGUUAUUAUAUGGUAACAUAUGAAUAGUAAUUCAUGCAUAACUAUUUUUUUUUAAUUUAUUUAUAAAAUUUUUGAAUAAGAUGAACGGUCAAAGUUGGACAGAGAAAAAAAAGUCCCUUGGG
rnacentral:pre_miRNA from 1 species